CUACGAAAGGUGCGAGCGUUGUUCGGAUUUACUGGGCGUAAAGCGAGUGUAGGUGGUUUGUUAAGUCGGAUGUGAGAUCCCGGGGCUCAACCUCGGAACUGCAUUCGAUACUGGCAGGCUAGAGUUCGCGAGGGGUAAGCGGAAUUCCGUGUGUAGCAGUGAAAUGCGUAGAUAUACGGAGGAACACCUGAGGCGAAGGCGGCUUACUGGACCGAUACUGACACUGAGACUCGAAAGCGUGGGUAGCAAACAGAAUUAGAAACCCUAGUAGUCC
rnacentral:rRNA from 1 species